UACGUAGGUGGCAAGCGUUGUCCGGAUUUAUUGGGUUUAAAGGGUGCGUAGGCGGAUCGUUAAGUCGGGGGUGAAAUCCUGGAGCUCAACUCCAGAACUGCCUUCGAUACUGGCGAUCUUGAGUCCGGAAGAGGUGAGUGGAACUCCUAGUGUAGAGGUGGAAUUCGUAGAUAUUAGGAAGAACACCAGUGGCGAAGGCGGCUCACUGGUCCGGUACUGACGCUGAGGUGCGAAAGCGUGGGGAGCAAACAGG
rnacentral:rRNA from 1 species